rnacentral:rRNA from 1 species
AACACAUGCAAGUCGAGGGGCAGCGCGGGUAGCAAUACCCUGGCGGCGACCGGCAGACGGGUGAGUAACACGUAUGCAACCUGCCCUGCACAGGGGAAUAGCCCGGAGAAAUUCGGAUUAAUGCCCCAUGGUCCGCGGGAGCCGCAUGGCUUCCUCGGUAAAGAUUCAUCGGUGCAGGAUGGGCAUGCGUUCCAUUAGCUAGUUGGCGGGCAACGGCCCACCAAGGCGACGAUGGAUAUGGGGUCUAAAAGGAUGGUCCCACACAUUGGCACUGAGAUACGGGCCAAACUCCUACGGGAGGCAGCAGUGAGGAAUAUUGGUCAAUGGGCGAGAGCCUGAACCAGCCAUCCCGCGUGCAGGAUGAAAGGUCUUACAGAUUGUAAACUGCUUUUGCAGGGGACGAAUAAGAACCACGCGUGGUUCGAUGACAGUACUCUGUGAAUAAGCAUCGGCUAACUCCGUGCCAGCCGCAGC